GCACUGCUGAGGAGUCCCAUAAUAGGACGAAAUGGCAGUCCAGUGC
rfam:Schistosoma rodhaini strain Burundi genome assembly, scaffold: SROB_scaffold0005773